UACGUAGGGUGCAAGCGUUGUCCGGAAUUAUUGGGCGUAAAGAGCUCGUAGGCGGUGUGUCACGUCGGCCGUGAAAACCUGCAGCUUAACUGUGGGCGUGCGGUCGAUACGGGCAUCACUGGAGUUCGGCAGGGGAGACUGGAAUUCCUGGUGUAGCAGUGAAAUGCGUAGAUAUCAGGAGGAAUACCGAUGGCGAAGGCAGGUCUCUGGGCUGAAACUGACGCUCAUGCACGAAAGCGUGGGGAGCAAACAGG
rnacentral:rRNA from 1 species